GAUGAACGCUGGCGGCGUGCCUAAUACAUGCAAGUCGAGCGAACAGACGAGGAGCUUGCUCCUCUGACGUUAGCGGCGGACGGGUGAGUAACACGUGGAUAACCUACCUAUAAGACUGGGAUAACUUCGGGAAACCGGAGCUAAUACCGGAGAAUAUAUUGAACCGCAUGGUUCAAUAGUGAAAGACGGUUUUGCUGGCCCUUAUAGAUGGAUCCGCGCCGCAUUAGCUAGUUGGUAAGGUAAAGGCUUACCAAGGCAACGAUGCGUAGCCGACCUGAGAGGGUGAUCGGCCACACUGGAACUGAGACACGGUCCAGACUCCUACGGGAGGCAGCAGUAGGGAAUCUUCCGCAAUGGGCGAAAGCCUGACGGAGCAACGCCGCGUGAGUGAUGAAGGUCUUCGGAUCGUAAAACUCUGUUAUUAGGGAAGAACAAAUGUGUAAGUAACUAUGCACGUCUUGACGGUACCUAAUCAGAAAGCCACGGCUAACUACGUG
rnacentral:rRNA from 1 species